GUAGGUGAACCUGCGGAAGGAUCAUUAACACGUUUCGUUCCGAACGUUUUUGACCACUUCUAUUAUCCGUGCACUCUAUGCGUCCGGCCUCCCAGCCGCCCUCCGGGUUUACUCGGUGUGGCCUGUUGGGCGUUGUGUUCGAGUUAGCAAUAACUUGAACCCAGCGUUGCCACCUCACCCAAACCCUUAAAUCUAAAUUAUCUGAACUUUUAGUUGAAAGGCCGUCACACGUCGAUCAACGAUUAUUGAA
rnacentral:misc_RNA from 1 species